rnacentral:rRNA from 1 species
AUGAAGCCCAGCUUGCUGGGUGGAUUAGUGGCGAACGGGUGAGUAACACGUGAGUAACCUGCCCUUGACUCUGGGAUAAGCCUGGGAAACUGGGUCUAAUACCGGAUAGGAACGUCCACCGCAUGGUGGGUGUUGGAAAGAUUUAUCGGUCAUGGAUGGACUCGCGGCCUAUCAGCUUGUUGGUGAGGUAAUGGCUCACCAAGGCGACGACGGGUAGCCGGCCUGAGAGGGUGACCGGCCACACUGGGACUGAGACACGGCCCAGACUCCUACGGGAGGCAGCAGUGGGGAAUAUUGCACAAUGGGCGAAAGCCUGAUGCAGCGACGCCGCGUGAGGGAUGACGGCCUUCGGGUUGUAAACCUCUUUCAGUAGGGAAGAAGCGAAAGUGACGGUACCUGCAGAAGAAGCACCGGCUAACUACGUGCCAGCAGCCGCGGUAAUACGUAGGGUGCGAGCGUUAUCCGGAAUUAUUGGGGCGUAAAGAGCUCGUAGGCGGUUUGUCGCGUCUGUCGUGAAAGUCCGGGGCUUAACCCCGGAUCUGCGGUGGGUACGGGCAGACUAGAGUGCAGUAGGGGAGACUGGAAUUCCUGGUGUAGCGGUGGAAUGCGCAGAUAUCAGGAGGAACACCGAUGGCGAAGGCAGGUCUCUGGGCUGUAACUGACGCUGAGGAGCGAAAGCAUGGGGAGCGAACAGGAUUAGAUACCCUGGUAGUCCAUGCCGUAAACGUUGGGCACUAGGUGUGGGGACCAUUCCACGGUUUCCGCGCCGCAGCUAACGCAUUAAGUGCCCCGCCUGGGGAGUACGGCCGCAAGGCUAAAACUCAAAGGAAUUGACGGGGGCCCGCACAAGCGGCGGAGCAUGCGGAUUAAUUCGAUGCAACGCGAAGAACCUUACCAAGGCUUGACAUGUUCUCGAUCGCCGUAGAGAUACGGUUUCCCCUUUGGGGCGGGAUCACAGGUGGUGCAUGGUUGUCGUCAGCUCGUGUCGUGAGAUGUUGGGUUAAGUCCCGCAACGAGCGCAACCCUCGUUCCAUGUUGCCAGCACGUCAUGGUGGGGACUCAUGGGAGACUGCCGGGGUCAACUCGGAGGAAGGUGGGGACGACGUCAAAUCAUCAUGCCCCUUAUGUCUUGGGCUUCACGCAUGCUACAAUGGCCGGUACAAUGGGUUGCGAUACUGUGAGGUGGAGCUAAUCCCAAAAAGCCGGUCUCAGUUCGGAUUGGGGUCUGCAACUCGACCCCAUGAAGUCGGAGUCGCUAGUAAUCGCAGAUCAGC